rnacentral:rRNA from 1 species
CCCUACUGCUAUCGGGAUGAGACUAAAACAUGCUAGUUGUGCGCACCCUAGCUAUGUUGGAAGCGCAGCGAACGGCUCUGUAACACGUAGUCAAUCUAACCUUAGGACGGGAAUAACCCCGGGAAACUGGGGCUAAUACCUAAUAGGCGAAAAAGUCUGGAAUGAAUUUUCACUAAAAGAGUUCUGGGAACAUGCUCCUUUAACUGCCUAAGGAUGAGACUGCGACCGAUCAGGUUGUUGGUGGGGUAACGGCCUACCAAGCCUAUAACCGGUACGGGCCCUGAGAGGGGGAGCCCGGAGAUGGGAACUGAGACAAGGUCCCAGACCCUACGGGGUGCAGCAGUUGCGAAAACUCUACAAUGCACGAAAGUGUGAUAGGGUUAUCCCGAGUGCCGUCCGAUGAGGAUGGCUUUUACCUGGUGUAAGGAGCCAGGAGAAUAAAGGGGGGGCAAGACUGGUGUCAGCCGCCGCGGUAAUACCAGCCCCCUGAGUGGUAGGGAUGAUUAUUUGGCCUAAAGCGUCCGUAGCCGGCUUAGCAAGUCUUUCGUUAAAUCCGGUGACUUAAUCAUUGGGCUGCAAGAGAUACUACUAGGCUUGAGGACGGGAGAGGUCGACGGUAUUUCGGGGGUAGGGGUAAAA